CGCUCCUGCCUGCAUGUCUGCCUCUCCCUGACCCGCCUAACCUCCCUCUUUUCCUGCUGUCUAACAUCUUCAGGAGAAUUUUCUGCAGUUUUGUUGAAUUUAUCCGCUGAAGAUGAGAAGCUGAACCGUAAAUGAAAGCUUGAAAAUCUGCUUAGUUUCUUCAUUCCUGGAGUCAGACGUAGAGCUGUGGUUUAAUCUGAGUCCGUUUUUAAUUUGUCCGUCUAUUAAAACUCUAAAAUCAGUUUGAAUUAUAUUUAGUUUGAUUUGCUUUUUGACAUUAGUUCCUUCAUGUCUUUGAGUGAUUAACAAAUUCAACCAACUAGACAAAUGACCAUUGUCUAGUGGAAUCUAAUUUCUAUUUUUAUUGAUCAGCGGUUGAGGCUGUAUGAAUAAAUUUGAGCCAAUAGCUGUCUGUGUGCUGUUGUAUCAUGUUUGGAACUGUGGUGAGACAAUGUUAAUAACAGGUUAAUAACCAGGUUAGCUAAUAACAGGUUAAUAACCAGGUUAGCUAAUAACAGGUUAAUAACCAGGUUAGCUAAUAACAGGUUAAUAACCAGGUUAGCUAAUAACAGGGUAAUAACUAGGUUAGCUAAUA